UGGAACCUAAGAUAGAACAUUGCCACCUCCUAGAUUAUGUUGCCCCCAUCUUACAAGGCACUGCCACCAAAGUAGAACCAUAACUGAGGCUUCAGAAGAUCAUUCUACAGCUCAACUGAACCAGCCUUUUCAGGAUGAUGGGGAACGUAAUAGGACCAGUGAAAUCCAUGAGCACGUGCCCUGAGAAGUAACUUAUUUGUUUAUAAGUGAUGCUGUGUGGAAUCCAUGAUGUUGAAUGAUGUCAUCAAUCAAACGAAUAGUGUCAUGGCUGGUGUAAGGGAAAGAUGAGUAAAGUCUGCAAGGACUGGAAUACGACAUAAGCCCGGAGAGUUGAUGUAAGUCUGAAGUGGGAAGUCGACGUGCGUUGCUGCCCUUUCCAGCUUAAGUCAGGACGCACAGGUCUUGAGAUCAAGGCGUGGAAACAGAAGUGCCUCUCUCACGACUUACCCCUAGAGGUGCACUGCCCAAUGUGCUUGCCAUCGCCAUCGCUGCAGGCCUUGCUGAACCAGAGGCCUUCGUUCCAAAGGGAGAAAUGCUUUCACCAAAGAACACACAGUGAUUCCAUCGAAAGGGAAUGGAAAC
rnacentral:lncRNA from 1 species